CGAGCAAAGUUAGAAAACACGCCAAGUGAGCUGGAGGUGUGCACUCCAGGCAGCUUCGGCUCCGCACAUCCUAGCCCAGGAGCGCCAGAGACCGUGCAGCAUCUGCCCCAGGGCGGUGGCUUUGGGGGACCCUUCUUUUAUAGACGAUCCCCUCGGUGUCCUCUGAUAGGAUCUGCAGCUAAUCUGAGCUGGGAAAUCUUGAUUUUUCUGCUUUCUGUUAAGUUCAGGUAUUUUUCAUCGUCCCAAAGAGGCCUGCAAAAUCCGCCUUUCACCGCGGGGCUUCAACCACAAGGUCACGCAGUCCCGGGCGGGUCCCCAGCUCGGUUCUGCGCCUCCCGGACGGCCCAGUGUGGCCCGGAGACCCCACUCCCCGCAGAAACCGCCCCAACUUCCCUCCGCCCCGCUCUGGCUGCAGACAGGACGCCGGGCGACCCGCCGCCACCCCGGGGACCCCUCCCGCCCUCUCUCCCGAGGUCUGUGGAAGGCAGUGGAAGGCGGUGGAGCCCCGCCUGCCCCGGCCCCCCGCCCCGAAAUCCCGCCAGCCCCUGUUCCACAGGCGCCCAGGGCCUCCCAUCCCGCCUCACCCGCGAGGUUUCCUUCCCGGGGACACAGAGGCCAGGAGCCUCUCUGCCGUUCACUCGUGCAGGGGUGCCUGGGCUCGGGUGCCAGCAGCCGGGUGGGGGACGAGGGUCCCGGGGCCUCCGGGGCAUGGGCGCCCCGCGGGACGGCACAGGGCCCCAGAGCCCGCGGCCUCUGGGCUGGAGCUGCGGUGGACCCAGGAGAAGAGAGGCCCGCCUUCCGCAGGCAGCCCGGCCUGCACACCAGGCCCGGCCCGAGGCCCCCCUGGGGACCCCGAGGCUGAGCUCGCCCCGCUCUCCUUGCCGCAUAGUGCGGGAGGCAGGGGCUCCGGGGCAGACACCUGCCGCCCCCCUGCUGCAGGCAGAGGCCACUGGGAGAGGCACGGAAAGUCCUCUAACCCGGCUUCGGGGCACCAGGCUUGGCCUUGAACCCAGACCUGGUCUGGGACAGAGAAGGCGAGAGGUCACAGGAGGCCUCCUGGCGGAGUGGAAAUGCAGAAGGGGGUGGCAGAGGGGUGGGAGUGCAGGGUGUUAG
rnacentral:lncRNA from 12 species